AAUGAACGCUGGCGGCGUGCCUAACACAUGCAAGUCGAGCGAGAAAGUCUCUUCGGAGAUAAGUACAGCGGCGGACGGGUGAGUAACGCGUGAGAAUUUACCCUUUAGUGAAGAAUACCUCUGAGAAAUCAGGGUUAAUACUGCAUACGUCCCUACGGGGAGAAAGGUGGCCUCUUUGCUGCCGCUAAAGGAUAAGCUUGCGUACUAUUAGCUAGUUGGUGAGGUAAAGGCUCACCAAGGCGAUGAUGGUUAGCCGGCCUGAGAGGGUGUACGGCCACACUGGAACUUAGACACGGUCCAGACUCCUACGGGAGGCAGCAGUGAGGAAUAUUGCGCAAUGGGCGAAAGCCUGACGCAGCGACGCCGCGUGGAGGAUGAAGGUCUUCGGAUUGUAAACUCCUGUUAAGUGGGAAGAAAGACCUAUUUCUAAUACAGAUAGGGGAUGACGGUACCAUUAGAGAAAGCACCGGCUAACUUCGUGCCAGCAGCCGCGGUAAUCUG
rnacentral:rRNA from 1 species